rnacentral:rRNA from 12 species
GGAUGCCUAGGCUUUCAGAGGCGAAGAAGGACGUGACAAGCUGCGAUAAGCUUCGGGGAGGUGCACAUAACCGUUAAUCCGAAGAUUUCCGAAUGGGGCAACCCGGCUAGUUGAAGACUAGUCACCGCAAGGAGCAAACCCGGGGAACUGAAACAUCUAAGUACCCCGAGGAAAAGAAAUCAACCGAGAUUCCCUAAGUAGCGGCGAGCGAACGGGGAUUAGCCCUUAAGCUAAACAACUGGUAGGAGAAGGCUCUGGAAAGUGCCGCCAUAGUGGGUGAUAGCCCCGUAUCCGAAACCUGAGUUUAGUGAAAUCGAGUAGGACGGGACACGUGGUAUCCUGUCUGAAUAUGGGGGGACCAUCCUCCAAGGCUAAAUACUCCUGACUGACCGAUAGUGAACCAGUACCGUGAGGGAAAGGCGAAAAGAACCCCUGUGAGGGGAGUGAAAUAGAACCUGAAACCGUGUACGUACAAGCAGUCGGAGCCCUCUUGUGGGGUGACGGCGUACCUUUUGUAUAA